UAUUGGUCAAUGGGCGCAAGCCUGAACCAGCCAUCCAGCGUGCAGGAAGACGGCCCUAUGGGUUGUAAACUGCUUUAGUCAGGGAAUAAACCCCUGGAUUUACUCCGGGGCUGAAGGUACCUGAAGAAUAAGCACCGGCUAACUCCGUGCCAGCAGCCGCGGUAAUACGGAGGGUGCGAGCGUUAUCCGGAAUUACUGGGUUUAAAGGGUGCGUAGGCUGCGCGGUAAGUCAGGAGUGAAAGUUUGCGGCUCAACCGUAAAAUUGCUUUUGAUACUGCUGUGCUAGAAUCAGGAUGAGGUUAGCGGAAUGUGGCAUGUAGCGGUGAAAUGCAUAGAUAUGCCAUAGAACACCGAUUGCGAAGGCAGCUGACUAGACCUGCAUUGACGCUGAGGCACGAAAGCAUGGGGAUCGAACAGG
rnacentral:rRNA from 1 species